rnacentral:rRNA from 1 species
ACCAGACUCCUACGGGAGGCAGCAGUGGGGGAUAUUGCACAAUGGGGGGAACCCUGAUGCAGCGACGCCGCGUGGGUGAAGAAGCGCCUCGGCGCGUAAAGCCCCGUCAGCAGGGAAGAAAAUGACGGUACCUGAAGAAGAAGCCCCGGCUAACUACGUGCCAGCAGCCGCGGUAAUACGUAGGGGGCAAGCGUUAUCCGGAUUUACUGGGUGUAAAGGGGGCGCAGACGGCGAUGCAAGCCAGGAGUGAAAGCCCGGGGCCCAACCCCGGGACUGCUCUUGGAACUGCGUGGCUGGAGUGCAGGAGGGGCAGGCGGAAUUCCUGGUGUAGCGGUGAAAUGCGUAGAUAUCAGGAGGAACACCGGUGGCGAAGGCGGCCUGCUGGACUGCAACUGACGUUGAGGCCCGAAAGCGUGGGGAGCAAACAGGAUUAGAUACCCCCGUA